CGGCUCCCCCACCCCGGACUACAUCUCCCAGCACCCCCCGCGCCGCUCGCCCCGCCCCCCGCUCCCGCCGCCGGCAGUGACGCCAGCCGCUUGGAUUUUUUCCCCGCGAAAAGCGGCGGCCAUGCAGCGGCGGAUCACGUCCUUCUUCGGGCCCCCCCGGGCCGCGGACGGCGGCGCCGCUCCGGCUCCCGCCCAGCAGCAGGGGCAGGGCCCCCCCCGCGCCCCCUCCCCCUCCUCCUCCUCGGAGCCGUCGGCGGAGCCCCCCCGGGACCCCCCCGAGGAGCCGGCGCCGCUGGAACGAGGGGACCCCGAUGGGCGGGGGCCGCCCUCCCCCGGGA